AUACGGAGGGUGCAAGCGUUAUCCGGAAUCAUUGGGUUUAAAGGGUCCGUAGGCGGACUAAUAAGUCAGGGGUGAAAUCCCACAGCUUAACUGUGGAACUGCCUUUGAUACUGUUAGUCUUGAGUUAUAUGGAAGUAGAUAGAAUGUGUAGUGUAGCGGUGAAAUGCUUAGAGAUUACACAGAAAACCGAUUGCGAAGGCAGUCUACUACAUAUAUACUGACGCUAAUGGACGAAAGCGUGGGGAGCGAACAGGAUUAGAAACCCUAGUAGUCC
rnacentral:rRNA from 1 species